rnacentral:rRNA from 1 species
UACGAAGGGGGCUAGCGUUGUUCGGAAUUACUGGGCGUAAAGCGCGUGUAGGCGGGUCUUUAAGUCAGGGGUGAAAUGCCAAGGCUCAACCUUGGAACUGCCUUUGAUACUGGAGAUCUUGAGUCCGGGAGAGGUGAGUGGAAUUGCGAGUGUAGAGGUGAAAUUCGUAGAUAUUCGCAGGAACACCAGUGGCGAAGGCGGCUCACUGGUCCGGUACUGACGCUGAGGUGCGAAAGCGUGGGGAGCAAACAGGG